UGUUCCCUGCAGUGCUCGUGAUGCGCGACUGAUGCUCGAACCGAUACAAAAUAAACGGGGGUCGUCUCGUCCCGACCUGGUGCAUGCCUUCCUCGCAAGAGAGAAGGACGCCGACGGAAAGGCAGAUUGCUCCCACCUGAACCGAUUCGGUUCAGCGUAAGUCGGGUCACACGGCACACGGUGGGGAACGU
rnacentral:other from 1 species